rnacentral:rRNA from 1 species
CCUGCCGCGUGCAGGAUGACGGUCCUAUGGAUUGUAAACUGCUUUUGCACAGGGAAGAAACAACGCUACGUGUAGCGUCUUGACGGUACUGUGAGAAUAAGGAUCGGCUAACUCCGUGCCAGCAGCCGCGGUAAUACGGAGGAUCCAAGCGUUAUCCGGAAUCAUUGGGUUUAAAGGGUCCGUAGGCGGUCUUAUAAGUCAGUGGUGAAAUCUCCCCGCUCAACGGGGAAACGGCCAUUGAUACUGUAGGACUUGAAUUAUUAGGAAGUAACUAGAAUAUGUAGUGUAGCGGUGAAAUGCUUAGAGAUUACAUGGAAUACCAAUUGCGAAGGCAGGUUACUACUAAUGGAUUGACGCUGAUGGACGAAAGCGUGGGUAGCGAACAGGAUUAGAUACCCUGGUAGUCCACGCCGUAAACGAUGGAUACUAGCUGUUGGGUGCAAACUCAUUGGCUAAGCGAAAGUGAUAAGUAUCCCACCUGGGGAGUACGUUCGCAAGAAUGAAACUCAUAGGAAUUGACGGGGGCCCGCACAAGCGGUGGAGCAUGUGGUUUAAUUCGAUGAUACGCGAGGAACCUUACCAAGGCUUAAAUGUAGAUUGACCGGUUUGGAAACAGACCCUUCGCAAGACAAU